rnacentral:rRNA from 1 species
GAGCCCGCACAAGCGGUGGAGCAUGUGGUUUAAUUCGACGCAACGCGAAGAACCUUACCAGGUCUUGACAUCCGACGCAAGACACUAGAGAUAGUGGGAUAGUUAUGGUCGAGACAGGUGGUGCAUGGUUGUCGUCAGCUCGUGUCGUGAGAUGUUUGGUUAAGUCCAACAACGAGCGCAACCCUUGUCCUUAGUUACCAUCAUUAAGUUGGGGACUCUAAGGAGACUGCCGGUGUAAAUCGGAGGAAGGUGGGGAUGACGUCAAAUCAUCAUGCCCUUUAUGACCUGGGCUACACACGUGCUACAAUGGGCGGUACAAUGAGAUGCAAAACGGUGACGUGAAGCAAACCUCAAAAAACCGCUCCCAGUUCGGAUUGAAGUCUGCAACUCGACUUCAUGAAGUUGGAAUCGCUAGUAAUCGCGAAUCAGCUACGUCGCGGUGAAUACGUUCCCGGGCUUU